GAUGAACGCUGGCGGCGUGCCUAAUACAUGCAAGUCGAGCGAACCACUUCGGUGGUGAGCGGCGAACGGGUGAGUAACACGUAGGUGAUCUGCCCAUCAGACGGGGACAACGAUUGGAAACGAUCGCUAAUACCGGAUAGGACGAAAGUUUAAAGGUGCUUCUGGCACCGCUGAUGGAUGAGCCUGCGGCGCAUUAGCUAGUUGGUAGGGUAAAGGCCUACCAAGGCGACGAUGCGUAGCCGACCUGAGAGGAUGAACGGCCACACUGGGACUGAGACACGGCCCAGACUCCUACGGGAGGCAGCAGUAGGGAAUCUUCGGCAAUGGGCGAAAGCCUGACCGAGCAACGCCGCGUGAAUGAUGAAGGCCUUCGGGUUGUAAAAUUCUGUUAUAAGGGAAGAACGACUUUAGUAGGAAAUGGCUAGAGUGUGACGGUACCUUAUGAGAAAGCCACGGCUAACUACGUGCCAGCCGCCGCAGUAACAC
rnacentral:rRNA from 1 species